rnacentral:rRNA from 1 species
UACGUAGGUGGCAGGCGUUGUCCGGAAUUAUUGGGCGUAAAGCGCGCGCAGGCGGUCCUUUAAGUCUGAUGUGAAAGCCCACGGCUCAACCGUGGAAGGUCAUUGGAAACUGGAGGACUUGAGUACAGAAGAGGAAAGCGGAAUUCCACGUGUAGCGGUGAAAUGCGUAGAGAUGUGGAGGAACACCAGUGGCGAAGGCGC